rnacentral:rRNA from 1 species
AGAACGAACGCUGGCGGCAUGCCUAAUACAUGCAAGUCGAACGAACACUUCGGUGUUAGUGGCGCACGGGUGCGUAACGCGUGGGAAUCUGCCCUUGGGUUCGGAAUAACAGUUGGAAACGACUGCUAAUACCGGAUGGUAUCGAAAGAUCAAAGAUUUAUCGCCCAGGGAUGAGCCCGCGUAGGAUUAGCUAGUUGGUGAGGUAAAGGCUCACCAAGGCGACGAUCCUUAGCUGGUCUGAGAGGAUGAUCAGCCACACUGGGACUGAGACACGGCCCAGACUCCUACGGGAGGCAGCAGUAGGGAAUAUUGCACAAUGGGCGCAAGCCUGAUGCAGCAACGCCGCGUGAGGGACGAAGGCCUUCGGUGUAAACCUCUUUAGUAGGAAGAAGCGAGUGUUAUUCACUUCAUGACGGUACCUGCAGAAAAGCAACCGGCUAACUACGUGACCAGCAGCCGC